GCUACGCUAAUACCGCAUACGAUCUACGGAUGAAAGCGGGGGAUCGCAAGACCUCGCGCGAUUGGAGCGGCCGAUAUCAGAUUAGGUAGUUGGUGAGGUAAAGGCUCACCAAGCCGACGAUCUGUAGCUGGUCUGAGAGGACGACCAGCCACACUGGGACUGAGACACGGCCCAGACUCCUACGGGAGGCAGCAGUGGGGAAUUUUGGACAAUGGGCGCAAGCCUGAUCCAGCAAUGCCGCGUGCAGGAUGAAGGCCUUCGGGUUGUAAACUGCUUUUUGUACGGAACGAAACGGUGAGCUCUAAUACAGUUUGCUAAUGACGGUACCGUAAAAAUAAGCACCGGCUAACUACGUG
rnacentral:rRNA from 1 species